rnacentral:pre_miRNA from 1 species
UGAUGACGGUGUUGAUGAUGAUGAUGAUGACGGUGUUGAUGAUGAUGAUGUUGACGAUUCUGUUAGCGUAGAUAACAAUGAUGAGUUUAGCGGAUCUUGUUUGAUGUUUGACAUCUUAGCUGUCGUCAUCAUCAUCAUCAACGUCAUCGUCAUCAUCAUCAUCAUCG